rnacentral:rRNA from 1 species
AGUGAACGCUGGCGGUAGGCCUAACACAUGCAAGUCGAACGGCAGCACAGUAAGAGCUUGCACUUACGGGUGGCGAGUGGCGGACGGGUGAGGAAUACAUCGGAAUCUACUUUUUCGUGGGGGAUAACGUAGGGAAACUUACGCUAAUACCGCAUACGACCUACGGGUGAAAGCAGGGGAUCUUCGGACCUUGCGCGAUUGAAUGAGCCGAUGUCGGAUUAGCUAGUUGGCGGGGUAAGGGCCCACCAAGGCGACGAUCCGUAGCUGGUCUGAGAGGAUGAUCAGCCACACUGGAACUGUGACACGGUCCAGACUCCUACGGGAGGCAGCAGUGGGGAAUAUUGGACAAUGGGCGCAAGCCUGAUCCAGCCAUACCGCGUGGGUGAAGAAGGCCUUCGGGUUGUAAAGCCCUUUUGUUGGGAAAGAAAAGCAGCAGGUUAAUACCCCGCUGUUCUGACGGUACCCAAAGAAUAAGCACCGGCUAACUUCGUG